GUUAUUUAUUAUUGAUAUGACAGCUGUAAUGCGGAUGUGGAAUUUCACAUCAGCUCUCUGUUGUUAAUUUGUAUUUGUUGCUAGGUCGAGUCUUGUUUUUAUUAAAUCAUGAUCAAAUCACAUAUUUGUAAUCAAUCAACAUGGCAUUUAGUUCUCAAUUAUACUUUUUUUGUCCCAAAUUUCUAAGGUGUUCUCCAACAGACCAUUUUAAAUAAAUGCAGUGCUGAACAGACAGAGGAUAUUAUUAUCAUCCUACAAGAUGAAUCUACUCUUCUAUUAUAUGAUACAUUCUGCACAUAGACAUCAUACAAGCCUCACCCAAAACCAGCCAGUGGUAUAAAAGUAAGCACUGCAUUGUUCUAUCUAGACAAUUACACUGAGAAAAUGAGCAUCAAAAACUUACAGAUUACAAAGCAGGCAAAAUCUUUUGAAGUGAACUAAAGAGCUGGAUUAAGUGUCCUUAUCUUUGUUUCCUUUCUAACCAAACAAAUCUACAAUGGCAAGCGGUGAUUCAAAGGUAAGUUUUGUUAAAAAUCUUUUAAGUAUUGUGUCUGUAGACCUCUGCAGAUAACUCGUUCUAACACAAUGAACAUAUUAAUACGAACUUAAUAAAGAACUAACCAUGAAUCUGUUUUUCAAAGGGGGAAAUUUGCACUGUUGGAGAUAUUUAUAUAUUCACAGUGAAUGUAAGUGAGUUUGCACCAGAAGAAGUUAUUGUAACCUCCACCAAUAAUUCAAUACAAGUCUGUGCAGAAAAGUUGGCAUCAGAUGGCACAAUUAUGGACACUGUUUGUCAGAAGUGCCAAUUCCCUGCUGAUGUGGAUCCAAUGUCAGUCACAUCUUCUCUAGGGAAAGAUGGUUUGUUGAGUAUUAAAGCUCAAAAACACACAGCAAAAGGCCCAGUAAUCACAGAUUCAAUCAAAGAAGUGAAGACCUAAUGCAUGGAUGUAUGUCUGAG